rnacentral:rRNA from 1 species
AUUGAACGCUGGCGGCAGGCCUAACACAUGCAAGUCGAGCGGUAGAGAGAAGCUUGCUUCUCUUGAGAGCGGCGGACGGGUGAGUAAUGCCUAGGAAUCUGCCUGGUAGUGGGGGAUAACGUUCGGAAACGAACGCUAAUACCGCAUACGUCCUACGGGAGAAAGCAGGGGACCUCCGGGCCUUGCGCUAUCAGAUGAGCCUAGGUCGGAUUAGCUAGUUGGUGGGGUAAUGGCUCACCAAGGCGACGAUCCGUAACUGGUCUGAGAGGAUGAUCAGUCACACUGGAACUGAGACACGGUCCAGACUCCUACGGGAGGCAGCAGUGGGGAAUAUUGGACAAUGGGCGAAAGCCCGAUCCAGCCAUGCCGCGUGUGUGAAGAAGGUCUUCGGAUUGUAAAGCACUUUAAGUUGGGAGGAAGGGCAGUAAAUUAAUACUUUGCUGUUUUGACGUUACCGACAGAAUAAGCACCGGCUAACUCUGUGCCAGCAGCCGCAGUAA